rnacentral:rRNA from 1 species
GAUGAACGCUGGCGGCGUGCCUAAUACAUGCAAGUCGAGCGAACAGACGAGGAGCUUGCUCCUCUGACGUUAGCGGCGGACGGGUGAGUAACACGUGGAUAACCUACCUAUAAGACUGGGAUAACUUCGGGAAACCGGAGCUAAUACCGGAUAAUAUAUUGAACCACAUGGUUCAAUAGUGAGAGACGGUUUUGCUGUCACUUAUAGAUGGAUCCGCGCCGCAUUAGCUAGUUGGUAAGGUAACGGCUUACCAAGGCAACGAUGCGUAGCCGACCUGAGAGGGUGAUCGGCCACACUGGAACUGAGACACGGUCCAGACUCCUACGGGAGGCAGCAGUAGGGAAUCUUCCGCAAUGGGCGAAAGCCUGACGGAGCAACGCCGCGUGAGUGAUGAAGGUCUUCGGAUCGUAAAACUCUGUUAUUAGGGAAGAACAAAUGUGUAAGUAACUAUGCACGUCUUGACGGUACCUAAUCAGAAAGCCACGGCUAACUACGUG